UUAACAGCUGCUCGAUGUGUAUACUGCGAUGGCGUCGUUGACUGCUUCCUCGCGUAUUGUUGCUCGCGUUCUAUCGUUCUUAACACUUUCCUCGUGUUGUUCGUUGUGGAAGUGCUGCUGCUGCUGCGAUUAUGGGAUUGUUCAGUUGGGUUUCACUUAGCGCACUUAGUUUCACACUUUCUUGUGCACUAUUUUGAUUAGUAUUCCGGUUCGGUAUUUAUGUGUCACUGCAUGUGUAAUUGUUGUUGCUUUUAAUUCACAUUUGAUUUCAUUUUUAGCACUGUAUUGGUGAUGUUUCGGGAUAUUCAUGCAGUUUCGGGAAAUCUACUGUUAUUUCAUGUAACAAACUGUUCGUGGAAUGCAUAAAAUUCCUUAACAGCCAGACGCUUCCUACUUGAGGGCUACUAUGGACGGGGUGCAGUGCAAGGUGAGAGUGACGAACAUGCUUUCGGAAUCGUUCGAAUCGCACCGGGGUCUGAGGCAAGGGGACGGACUCUCCUGUUGGCUGUUUAACAUCGCUCUGGAAGGUGUCAUGUGAAGCGCGGGCUUCGACAUCCGGUGCACGAUUUUCACCCGAACUCUCCAAUUCCUUGGCUUCGCGGAUGACAUCGACAUCAUCGGACGUAUAGUACAACUGCGACGGUGUGCGAAGCGUACACCCGACUGAAACGCGAGGCCGAAAGGAUUGGAUUGAGGAUCAAUGCGACGAAGACAAAGUACCUGCUUGCCGGGGGCUCUGUACGUGAUAAAGCCUGACUCGGAAACAGAGUAUCAGUUGACGGCGACGAUCUCGAGGUGGUAGAGGAGUUCUGCUACCUUGGUACGAUCGUAACUUCGGACAACAACGUAAGCAGCGAAAUCCGAAGGCGCAUUGUUCAGGGAAGUCGUGCCUACUACGGGCUCCACAAACUCCUGUGAUCCAGAAGACUCCAGCAACACACGAAAUGCGCCAUAUAUCGCACACUGAUUCGUCCGGUAGUCCUCUACGGGUACGAGUCUUGGACUAUGCUGACGGAGGACGCCAAUGCACUCGCCAUUUUCGAACGGCGGGUACUAAAGACUAUCUUUGGCGGUGUGUGCGAGCAGGGCGUGUGGAAAUGGAGGAUGAACCACGAGCUAGCUGAGCUGUUUGGCGGUGCUGAUAUCCUGACGGUCAUCAAAGCCGGAAGGAUACGAUGGCUGGGACACGUGAUGAGGAUGCCGGACUCAUGCCCCACUAGGAGGGUGCACGUCAGCGACCCGUUCGGCACGAGGCGUAGAGGAGCACAGCGAGCUAGUUGGCUGGAUCAGGUGGAGUCGAACCUGUCGGAGAUCGGAUGCAGCCGUGGUUGGAGGACUGCAGCCCAGGACCGAGUUUCCUGGAAACGGAUUGGCGACCUGGCCAUGUCUACUAGACGUGCUCAUACAUGAGCAGGCCAAAAAAAAGAAGAAGAAGACUUUCAGCUUCCAUAUUUUGCAGUAUCUUGCAUACUCAUUUAGCCCUUUGUUUAGGCUUUUUAUAAUUGUUCUUCGACAUUUGGCAGAGGAACUAAUCGCAAAGUCAUCAGCAAAAGAGUAUUGUUUGACAUUUUUCAUUUUUGGAAUAUCGCAUGUGUAAAUAUUAAACAGAAUCGGUGAAAGUACGCUUCCUUGAAGCAGGUCAGGCUAGGAUUACAUUCCUGAAUUAUGUGUGUAACAGCAGCUAAUCUUUAUAUUCAGCUAAAAUAAAUAUUUUAUUUUUGUUUGA